AGGGGCGUAGCCAAGCGGUAAGGCAGCAGGUUUUGAUCCUGCCAUGCGUUGGUUCGAAUCCAGCCGCCCCUGCCA
rnacentral:tRNA from 18 species